rnacentral:tRNA from 1 species
GCCCCCGUAGCUCAGAGGAUAGAGCAGAGGUUUCCUAAACCUUUGGCCGCAGGUUCAACUCCUGCCGGGGGUA